rnacentral:rRNA from 1 species
AACGAACGCUGGCGGCGUGCUUAACACAUGCAAGUCGAACGCGAAAGGGACUUCGGUCCUGAGUAAAGUGGCGCACGGGUGAGUAACGCGUAGAUAACCUAUCUUCACGUCUGGAAUAAUACGCCGAAAGGGGUACUAAUACCGGAUAUUCUUGCUUUUCAUAAGUUUUGCAAGGAAAGGUGGCCUCUGUAUAUGCUACUGCGGGAAGAGGGGUCUGCGUAGCCAUUAGCUAGUAGGUGGGGUAAUGGCCUACCUAGGCUACGAUGGUUAGCGGGUCUGAGAGGAUGAUCCGCCACACUGGAACUGGAACACGGGCCAGACUCCUACGGGGGGCAGCAGUGAGGAAUAUUGCGCAAUUGGGGAAACCAUGACGCAGCGACGCCGCGUGAGUGAGGAAGGCCUUCGGGUCGUAAAGCUCUGUCAAAGGGAAAGAAGUGCAUGAUGGCUAAUACCUGUCAUGUUUGACGGUACCCUUAAAGGAAGCACCGGCUAACUCCGUGCCAGCAGCCGCCGUAAAAC